rnacentral:tmRNA from 1 species
GGGGCUGACUGGUUUUGACAGCGUGAAGAAGCGGUGAAGUAAGCAUGCAGAGCAAUGAUGGCCACACUCUUUAAACAGAGACAUCAGCAAGUUAAUUGGCGAAAACAACUACGCUCUUGCUGCCUGAUCGAAGAACAGUAGAUCACGCUUAAUCGCCGCAACAGUUGCAGCGACAAGACAUUGCCCGAUUGUCCUUUUUCCGAGACGGAUCGACCCGGCAGUGCAGGUAAAUCGGAAAUAGGCUUGACCGGCCUCGCGGCCGAGCCGAAACAAUAGAGGAUAAGGAUACGGUUGGUCGUCUUCUGCCUGCCGCAUCACGAAAACCAAGUGAAGACUAAGCAUGUAGAAAGCUCAUUGAUUCCACGUUUGGACGAGGGUUCAAGUCCCUCCAGCUCCACUU